GAUGAACGCUGGCGGCGUGCCUAAUACAUGCAAGUCGAACGAACAGACGAGGAGUUCGUGCUCUUGACGGUAGCGACGGGCGGGUGAGUAACACAUGGAUCACCUACCUAUUAGUCUGGGAUGACUUCGGAAGAACAGAUAUAAUACCAGAGCAUACGAUGUACCGCAUGGUUCAAUAGAGAUUGACGGUUUUGCCGUUACUAUGAGAUGAUUCCGGAUUGCAUUAGUUAGUUGGUAAGGUAACGCCUAACCAAGGCGACGAUGCGUAGCCGACCGGAGGGGGUGAUCGGCCACACUGGAACUGAGACACGGUCCAGACUCCUACGGGAGGCAGCAGUGGGGAAUCUUGGACAAUGGGCGAAAGCGUGACGGAGCAACGCCGCGUGGGUGAAGAAGGUCUUCGGAUCGUAAAGCCCUUUUAUUGGGAAAGAAGAGAUGUAGAAUAAAACAUUGCCGUUUUGACGGUACCUAAACAGAAAGCAACGGCUAACUACGUG
rnacentral:rRNA from 1 species